GAUGAACGCUGGCGGCGUGCCUAAUACAUGCAAGUCGAGCGAACAGACGAGGAGCUUGCUCCUCUGACGUUAGCGGCGGACGGGUGAGUAACACGUGGAUAACCUACCUAUAAGACUGGGAUAACUUCGGGAAACCGGAUCUAAUACCGGAUAAUAUAUUGAACCGCAUGGUUCAAUAGUGAAAGACGGUUUUGCUGUCACUUAUCGAUGGAUCCGCGCCGCAUUAGCUAGUUGGUAAGGUAACGGCUUACCAAGGCGACGAUGCGUAGCCGACCUGAGAGGGUGAUCGGCCACACUGGAACUGAGACACGGUCCAGACUCCUGCGGGAGGCAGCAGUAGGGAAUCUUCCGCAAUGGGCGAAAGCCUGACGGAGCAACGCCGCGUGAGUGAUGAAGGUCUUCGGAUCGUAAAACUCUGUUAUUAGGGAAGAACAAAUGUGUAAGUAACUAUGCACGUCUUGACGGUACCUAAUCAGAAAGCCACGGCUAACUACGUG
rnacentral:rRNA from 1 species